GUAAGCCACUAUCGAUUAAAUGACCAAUCAAAAUAUGCUAAUCUCACUAGAAUCUCUCUUCAGUAUUCAAAUUUGACGCUGUUCAGCCUGUUUCUCGAAAUUCUAGUUCUACUUACCAUAUCGACUUUUCCGGAUGCAGUGAAUCAAGCUGUGGAGCAAUUUCUGUUCGCAAAAUUGCACAGUUUUUGGAACAAUGCUAAAUUUUGGGAAUUUUUACAAAUUCAGUUCGAUUGUUGUGGUGUAUACAGUCCAAUGGACUGGCAGAAGGUGUUCCUACACUCGUUGCUGCCACCAUCCUGUUGUCAAAAUAUUCAUAAUGGAAGCUCAUUGUGCUCUAAAGAUUUAUCUUCACAAUUGGGCUGCAAAAUUGCAUUAUCCUUGUUCGUAAAAUCCAAUUCGAUGGUUUUUUAUUUGGUGGGCACUUUCAUUGCCGGAGUGCAGAUAUUUGGCAUCAUAUUCCCUUGUAUUCCUUUCGAAUAAUUGACGGACCAGAGCCGGAGCUUACAUGACAACCACCAUUGGUGACAAAUGAAUUUUUCCAAAAC